GACGGAGGAUGCAAGCGUUAUCCGGAAUGAUUGGGCGUAAAGCGUCCGCAGGUGGCAGUUCAAGUCUGCUGUCAAAGACCGGGGCUUAACUUCGGAAAGGCAGUGGAAACUGAACAGCUAGAGUAUGGUAGGGGCAGAGGGAAUUCCUGGUGUAGCGGUGAAAUGCGCAGAUAUCAGGAGGAACACCAAUUGCGAAGGCAGCUCGCUGGAACGUAACUGACGCUGAGACGCGAAAGCGUGGGGAGCAAACAGG
rnacentral:rRNA from 1 species